GACGAACGCUGGCGGCGUGCCUAAUACAUGCAAGUCGAACGCUUUUUCUUUCACCGGAGCUUGCUCCACCGAAAGAAAAAGAGUGGCGAACGGGUGAUUAACACGUGGGUAACCUGCCAAUCAGAAGGGGAUAACCUUCGAAAACGGGUGAUAAUACCGCGUAAUAUCUUCUUCCGCAUGGAAGAAGAUUGAAAGACGGCUCAGCUGUAACUUAUAGCUGACUUGACGGUGAAUUAGUUAGUUGGUGGGGUAACGGCCUACCAAGACGAGUAUGCAUAGCCGACCUGAAAGGGUGAUCGGCCACAUUGGGACUGAGACACGGCCCAAACUCCUACGGGAGGCAGCAGUAGGGAAUCUUCCGCAAUGGGCGAAAGCCUGACGGAGCAAUGCCGCGUGUGUGAAGAAGGCUUUCGGGUCGUAAAACUCUGUUAUAAGAGAAGAACAAAUUGUAGAGUAACUGCUACAGUCUUGACGGUAUCUUAUCAGAAAGCCACGGCUAACUACGUGCCAGCCGCCGCGGUAA
rnacentral:rRNA from 1 species